UCUCCCCAACCAGUAUAAACCGGGGCAACAAAAGCUGUGUGUUGUCAGAAGUGCUGCCAGGUAUUUUGCCAGCAUAGUGAUGCCAUCUGAGAGCAUGACUUUCUGAUUAACACGGUCAUGCCAGCAAAACAUUACAGUGUAAACCUGAGUCAUAGAAAGGUAUAAAACUGGAGUAAUUUUCCCUCAGAGAAAGAAGAAUGGGAAGAGUGAUGAUUACUAAUGAGUUAGCAAUGUCAGAAGAAGCUCAUUUCCCAACUGGAAAUACACAUCUCCUUCCCUAGACAGCAAAAGAAGUCAAACCCAAAAAAAUCCAUAUACGGCUAUCAUAAAUAACAUCCACUUCUCCAUUUACUUUCCUCCCACUGCAAAGUGUGGCUCGUGAGAUGGUACUUCUUCAUCUCCCAAGAGGAGGAAAAGCUUUCUCAAUUAAUCUGUUCAAAUGAGUCACCAGAAAGAGACACGUGUGAAUUCCAGCACACCUGCAGGUAACAAGUACAGCCCAGAGCAGCCUCCUCGGCACGGGCUGGAGAGCUCUUGCCUCUCCCACUGAGAUUUUAUCCCAAAGUGGUUACAGAGAAAGGAGAUGUCGGGAAGCAAGAGAAAAAGCACAGGCUGGGGACCCCUGCACCAACAUAAUUCCAUGCCUGACGGUGGUACAAAGACAUCACAUCUCAGCAUAGCUUCACACUCCAGAUGCUGAAGAAGAUAAAGCAACAAUCUCGCUCAGGAUGCACCAGCUAGCAAAGGGGCAUUGUGUCACUGGCCACUGGAAUAUAAAGCCUCCCGUGAAGCUUGCAGUAUCAUUUGCAGCACCGGCCUUCUCGGGUUUCUCUGGACGAAGCGCUAUUUCAGCUCUAAGUUUAGCACUUGGAGAGAAGCCAGGAAGACUUCCAUAACCACCACUGAUUUGUUAAUCCUUUAAUGCACAGGCACUGUUUGUUACUUAGGACGUCAGGUUUCAUCACUCCUCAGCAUGCUGGUGAUAGAACUUCUUGACACCAGACUGCAAAUAUUAUUGCAGUGUCAAUACUCCCAGGGAGAAAGCCAAGCCUGGUUAAAAUGUGACUUUGGUGUUGACAAGCCAGUUUGGCAUUGCAGAGUUCAAACGGCCAGGAUCACCUGGCAACUUUAAAAACAGGAGGAGAGUUUGCCAGGAUCCUUUUUGACUGGAGUCUUAUCCUGAGACCCGCAUGGUAACAGCUAAACACUUUCCAAUCAGAUGAAGCAAGAAAGAAUAGAGUAUGUGGAUUAUACUUUUCCAGGAAAGCGCUGGGAGCAACGUGGACAUAUGCAUAGGAUCCAGGGGACAUAACAGACGGAAUGACUGUUUUCUUCCCGCUGCUUGACAUUGCUAUAUACAGACAGCCUCCUCUUUCAACAAGAUAAAAGUCAAUGUGAAUGGGCAAGAAAGACAAAAUCCUGCAGCAAGGGCACAGGCAGCACUGGACCCUCGCAGCAUGCCCGAAAGCAGCAGUGGAUCAAGGUGUUCUGCAGGGAGGCAUUAAUACAUCUCCGAAACACACACGGAUGCUAACAGAGGGUAUACCUUUUUUUUUCCUCUCUUUUUUUUUUUUUUUAAUUUAACAAAAGGACACCCAAUUCUAUCAGUGGGGGUUGAUAUGAAAAGACCAUUACGCUCUUCCCCUGGUAGGAUGUCCACUGAAAGCCCUUGUGCAUUCAAGUGGGCAGUCAGGCACAACUAUACGGAAACAGAAGAACUGAGCCACACUAGUAUCCA